AUGGCCUUCGCCCGCCCUGCCCCUCGCCUGCUUCAGAAGCCCCCGGAAACGCCCUGGUCCGCGGCCUGGGCCGGAGCCGCCAGGGGGCUUAAGGCGUUUAUUCACACAGCACUGAUGCUAAAGAAAAGAAUUGUGGUGUAUCACCCCAAAAUAGAAGCGGUCCAGGAGUUUACCAGGACUCUGCCUGCCCUGGUGUGGCACCGAUAGGACUGGACCAUCCUUCACUCUUACCUACACCUCAACGCGGAUGAGCUGGAAGCCCUGCAGAUGUGCACAGGUUACAUCGCUGGAUUUGUAGACUUGGAGGUGAGCAACAGACCAGACCUCUAUGAUGUGUUUGUGAAUCUGGCAGAGAGUGAGAUUACCAUUGCUCCCCUUGCAAAAGAGGCCAUGGCAAUGGCCAAACUGCACAAACAAAUGGGUCAGCUAAUUGUUCAGUCUGCAGAAGAUCCAGAGAAAUCAGACAGCCAGGUGAUACAGGAUAUUGCUCUAAAAACAAGAGAAAUCUUUACCAACCCAGCACUGUUUUCAGAAGUUUUGGCUGAUGGAGAAAAGAGAGUCCUUAAUUUGGAGGCGCUAAAGCAAAAACGAUUUCCGCCAGCAACAGAAAACUUCCUUUAUCAUCUAGCAGCAGCCAAACAAAUGCUGAAAAUCUGACUGUGUGACAGAAUGUAUCACUGAUGACUGAUAGAAAGCCCUCUUUCACUGUGAUUAUCCAUUAACUACAUAAAGUCCUGAAAAUAACAGAGAAACUAUUAUAUAUUUUUAAUGAUUUAUCUGCAGGUAUUGAGAUUUGACCUGAAAAACAAUGAAACACAUGAACACACUUCUGAUUCUCUCCCAGCUGAUUAGUUUCCUGCCUGCUCUCAGUGUUGGACAAAGUGCUGUAACUACUUUAUAUAACAAUACAAAACAGCUGGAGGUCCUGGGGUAAGAGAAAAAAAGCACAUCAUGACAAAUGUGAAAGCUUUCAUUAUUACACGUUCCAGUUUGUCUCACUGUGUAGUCAUAAGCUAAUGGUUUACUUUCAGAAAGCUGCCUGAAACGUUGCUUUGUAUUCUAGGAAGAACUUUAAUUCCUCCUGAGAAACUCUACUUUCUGAGCCCAACUGCUAAGUUUUCUGUGGAACUGUCUAGAAGAUCAUUCAAGAGAGCCUGCAGUUGCACUUUCUUGUAAAAGUUAAAAAAA